CAGGUUUGAAUUUGUCCAAACACCCAAGGACUUUCAUUUCCAGUCUCAGGACACGGAGGAAAAGCCAAUGAUCCUGGUUGUCGUGCUUGCGAUUCUGAACUUAGAAGCAUCUUAAAAGUAAAGUUUGGAGUAAAUCUACUAUCAGAUUGCACCUUAGUAACAUCAGUGUGGUGCUGAGGAAUGUGGAGCUGUAGAAGAUAAACCCAUCAACAAUUCUGGAAGGAAGAAGAAAGAAGGCAGAGAGUGGAAUCCCGCUCUCUGGGAAGAGGGCUG
rnacentral:lncRNA from 1 species